rnacentral:rRNA from 1 species
UACGAAGGGGGCUAGCGUUGCUCGGAAUCACUGGGCGUAAAGCGCACGUAGGCGGAUCUUUAAGUCAGGGGUGAAAUCCCGAGGCUCAACCUCGGAACUGCCCUUGAUACUGGGGAUCUCGAGUCCGGAAGAGGUUGGUGGAACUCCGAGUGUAGAGGUGAAAUUCGUAGAUAUUCGGAAGAACACCAGUGGCGAAGGCGGCCAACUGGUCCGGCACUGACGGCUGAGGUGCGAAAGCUAGGGGAGCGAAUGGG